ACGGGAGGCAGCAGUGAGGAAUAUUGCACAGUGGGGGAAACCCUGAUGCAGCGACGCCGCGUGAGUGAAGAAGUAUUUCGGUAUGUAAAGCUCUAUCAGCAGGGAAGAAAAUGACGGUACCUGAAUAAGAAGCCCCGGCUAACUACGUGCCAGCAGCCGCGGUAAUACGUAGGGGGCAAGCGUUAUCCGGAUUUACUGGGUGUAAAGGGAGCGUAGACGGCAUGGCAAGUCUGAAGUGAAAGCUCGGGGCUCAACCCCGGAACUGCUUUGGAAACUGUCAAGCUGGAGUACCGGAGAGGUAAGCGGAAUUCCUAGUGUAGCGGUGAAAUGCGUAGAUAUUAGGAGGAACACCAGUGGCGAAGGCGGCUUACUGGACGGUAACUGACGCUGAGGCGCGAAAGCGUGGGGAGCAAACAGGAUUAGAUACCCUGGUA
rnacentral:rRNA from 1 species